GGUAGUGACAAGAAAUACCGAUGCGGGACCCUACGGGUGCCGCGUUCGGAAUGAGUACGAUUCGAACCACCUAACGAGGAACGAUCGGAGGGCAAGUCUGGUGCCAGCAGCCGCGGUAAUUCCAGCUCCAAUAGCGUACGUUAAAGUUGCUGCAGUUAAAAGCUCGUAGUUGAACGUUCGGGUUCCGCGGGACGGGGCCGCCCCGCGAGGGACGGCGCCGCCCCGGGGCUCGUGAUAUCUCAUCUCGCCGCCCGUCGCGAGGCGGACGGAGGGAUGGAUGAGGUUACCUGGAAAAAAUCGGGGCGAUCUAGGCGGGCGAACCUCGCCAACGAACGAUCGGACAUGGGAUAACGGAAGAGGGCGUCGGCUCGACUUCGUCGGUUCCUCGGGCCGAGGCACGUACGGUGAAUAGGGGACGGUCGGGGCCGCCCGUACCGGGUCGUGAGAGGUGAAAUUCUAGGAUCGACCCGAGACGAACCGCCGCGAAAGCAUUCGGCAAGGACGCUUUCAUU
rnacentral:rRNA from 1 species